rnacentral:rRNA from 1 species
AUUGAACGCUGGCGGCAUGCUUUACACAUGCAAGUCGAACGGCAGCGCGGGCUUCGGCCUGGCGGCGAGUGGCGAACGGGUGAGUAAUGCAUCGGAACGUGCCCAGUAGUGGGGGAUAGCCCGGCGAAAGCCGGAUUAAUACCGCAUACGACCUGAGGGUGAAAGCGGGGGACCGAAAGGCCUCGCGCUAUUGGAGCGGCCGAUGUCGCAUUAGCUAGUUGGUGGGGUAAAGGCUUACCAAGGCGACGAUCCGUAGCUGGUCUGAGAGGACGACCAGCCACACUGGGACUGAGACACGGCCCAGACUCCUACGGGAGGCAGCAGUGGGGAAUUUUGGACAAUGGGGGCAACCCUGAUCCAGCCAUGCCGCGUGCGGGAAGAAGGCCUUCGGGUUGUAAACCGCUUUUGUUCGGGAAGAAAUCCUCUGGGCUAAUACCCCGGGGGGAUGACGGUACCGGAAGAAUAAACACCGGCUAACUACGU